AUUGAACGCUGGCGGCAGGCCUAACACAUGCAAGUCGAGCGGAUGAAGGGAGCUUGCUCCUGGAUUCAGCGGCGGACGGGUGGGUAAUGCCUAGGAAUCUGCCUGGUAGUGGGGGAUAACGUCCGGAAACGGGCGCUAAUACCGCAUACGUCCUGAGGGAGAAAGUGGGGGAUCUUCGGACCUCACGCUAUCAGAUGAGCCUAGGUCGGAUUAGCUAGUUGGUGGGGUAAAGGCCUACCAAGGCGACGAUCCGUAACUGGUCUGAGAGGAUGAUCAGUCACACUGGAACUGAGACACGGUCCAGACUCCUACGGGAGGCAGCAGUGGGGAAUAUUGGACAAUGGGCGAAAGCCUGAUCCAGCCAUGCCGCGUGUGUGAAGAAGGUCUUCGGAUUGUAAAGCACUUUAAGUCGGGAGGAAGGGCAGUAAGUUAAUACCUUGCUGUUUUGACGUUACCAACAGAGUAAGCACCGGCUAACUUCGUG
rnacentral:rRNA from 1 species